GGCCGAUAGUGCGUUUGUGUGCGCCUGCGCUGGGCGGCGGGACAGGGCGUGUUCCUUGUGGGGAUCCCGUUUUGCCUUAACGGGUUGCAUCUUUCGUCACCUGAGUGUGCCCUGCGGACUUUCCACGGUCACCGUGUCAGCUGCCACCCUCCGCGAAUAUGUCCAAGUCUCUGAAAAAGUUGGUGGAGGAGAGCCGGGAGAAGAACCAGCCGGAAGUGGACAUGAGUGACCGGGGCAUCUCCAACAUGCUGGAUGUCAGCGGGUUGUUCUCCCUAGCUCAUAUCACACAACUGGUCCUCAGCCACAACAAGCUCACAACUGUGCCACCAAACAUAGCAGAACUGAAGAACUUGGAGGUACUUAACUUCUUUAAUAACCAGAUCGAGGAGCUGCCCACACAGAUCAGUAGCCUUCAAAAACUCAAACAUCUGAACCUUGGCAUGAACCGCCUGAGCACCCUGCCUCGGGGAUUUGGCUCACUCCCCGCUCUGGAGGUCUUGGACUUGACUUACAACAACUUGAACGAACACUCCCUUCCUGGCAACUUCUUCUACCUUACCACCCUGCGUGCACUCUAUCUAAGUGACAACGAUUUUGAAAUCCUGCCUUCAGAUAUUGGGAAGCUCACAAAGUUGCAGAUACUCAGCCUCAGGGAUAACGACCUGAUCUCGCUGCCUAAGGAAAUUGGGGAGCUGACCCAGCUUAAAGAGCUCCACAUUCAGGGGAACCGCCUGACCGUUCUGCCCCCAGAACUAGUCCUCUGAUCUCUGCCUCCUGAGUAGCUGAGAUUACAGGUAUGAGCCACUGAGCUCCCAAAUUUUAUAUUCUUUUAAUCAGAAAUAAAAUCAAAGGGAAAGUCUUUUAAUGAUCUUACUAGCUGUACCUAGAAAAACUGACUCUUAACAUCUGCCUGUGGAGUUGUUUCUACUUUGAAGCAAAGGCUUAGUUGGAAAUUACUAAACUAAAUUUGGGAUGAGGACAAUGUAUUAGUUAUUUUGGGGCAGUGAUUAUUUUUAAAGUUAAGAAUAGUAUAUUAGGUAGUAAUAUAAUAAUAGCUAGUAUGUAUUAAGCUCUCGUGUGCAGGCACUAGUGUAUGUAGUCUUCUCUGCAGUAUCUUCUGCAGUCAUUUAAGUAGUAAGCAGAUUUUGUAGAGCUGGAUAACUGAGGCUUAGGGAGGGUUAGUGAUGUCUGUAGGGACAUGGCUAGUGAGUCACAAAAGCAAAACUUGCACCUGAUAGUCUCUCCUUCAUGCCCAGUUCCUGACUGCUGUGAUGGUCUCCUUUCCACCUGUAUGACAGUAGGAAAGAUUCUGCCAGUUUCAACAAAUGCAACACCUGUCCACCCCUCCAAGAUGGCAGCCAAAGGAGAGUGAGAUGGAAGCCUGCAGAGAAAGGCACUUGACGGCACAGGUGUGAACAAGGAGCCUGCAAAGGGACUUUUAAAACACACAGAGAAGUGGGUACAGGUUUUCUGAGGCGAGCAGGAAGAAGGAAGGUGAUUCAAAGAAGCUCGUAUCCUGCAAGAGGAGAAGACUAGUGUUGAUCAAGCAUGUAGGUAGACAUUUAUGCACAGCUUUUCAUUAGACUGCCAACAGCCUUGAGGUGUUGGGGCCUUUCUCCCCAUUUUGGAGGACAAGGAGCAGGAGGCUGUGGGAGGCUGUGAUGUGCCAAGCACAUGUAGAAAGUGAAACCAGGAGUGACUCAUGCCACCUCUUGUGGUCAGCACACCAGGUGAACAAGGGUGUGCUCAGGGCUACUGGCUGCUUUUUUUCUAAUCCCCCUUUUAGGGUCAUAAAGGGGGAUUAUUAGUUUGCAUAAAGAAAUAGGAUUUUUUAUAUAAAUAAUGAAAAAACCUUCUGGAUUAGGUAUUACUGAAGAUACACACCCUAAAAGACAUGAUGAUCAGCCUGUGAAAAGAUUACCAAAUAGCAUGAUGUCCUCAGUCAACAGUUAGAGCACUAAGUGACAAGGACUUUCUUUAUGGACUUGUUAACCCUGUCUCUUGUACAUGCACAAAAUCAAAGUCAACUAAUGGCUCACGUUCUUUAGGCCACUUUCUUUCUAUCUAUCUGUCUGUCUGUCUGUCUAUCUGUCUGUCUAUCUACUAUCUAUCCAUCUAUCUAUCUAAAAAUCUGUCCUACCUGUAGAGGGUUGAAGCAGAGCCUCAUUCAUACUCGGUAGGUGCUCUCCCACUUGAGGCGUGCUCUCAGCCCUUUUGCGUUCAGCUUUGUUUUUAGACAGGGUCUUGUGCUAACUAGCCUUGUAUUGCAACCCUCCCGUCUCAU